GUUUAGCUGACGGGUUCCAAAUAGGGCGAAAGGCCCGUCCUGGAC
rnacentral:hammerhead_ribozyme from 1 species